UGAUGUGAGGGCAGUCUGGCUGCGACAUCUGUCACCCCAUUGAUUGCCCCGGUCGAUUCGGUUGAUCUGGCUGGCUAGGCGAGUGUCCCCUUCCUCCCUCACCGCUCCAUGUGCAUCGUUGCUGAAUAGAGAUGGACUGGUCUUCAAGUCGAGGGUUUAUGAAUAGCUGUGCUCCCCUGCUAGACCCUCUGAACAAGCUCUCAGGAAACAGGGUUGCCCAAUAUGGAGUGGGAGGUCCAGACCUGAGUGCAGAGCCCAAGUACUAAGUAAUUUUAGACAGCCUCUUUAUCUGGCUGGUCUG
ensembl:misc_RNA 7SK 7SK RNA